CUUGUUAGUUUUAUAUACGGUACUAUUGGGUUUGUUAAAAUUUUGUGACUAUAAAGAUAACAGGUGUGGAUGAAAAAUGUCAGAUAAAAAUAGCUCGAUCGACAUCUGCGAGGUUUAAAAUCCGGUGCUUGUGCAGCCAACGUCGUCGCCCAAUAAGGAUAACAUACUGCCAACAUC